UGCCUGCAAAGAUAGAGGACCCACAUCUCAGCAUUCUCCACAACUGCUCCGGCCUCCCCACGCCUGCCUGACCUGGCCAAGACCGGAGGCUGAGGGUAAAUCCUCCUAUGAGAAAGGACAGGAACCGGCCUGCCUCUAUCAGGGCACUGUGCCAGGCUUGGACAGCCUGCUGCCCAAGUGCACAGAAGUUGCAGAACAGAAGUGGGAACAGAGAGCGUGGCCCCAGCCUCCCCUUCGCUUCUCCAUUCACCGACAGUGCCAUGACAAAGAGCAGGUGGUAAUGUGUGCAGGCGAACAUGACCCCUUCCGUCCUUAUUUAUCAAGCCACCCUUAACCACAGUUGGUUAUUCACGUAGUAGCAGGUUGAAGCUCUUCUCUGGAAAAGCACUGGAGGUAGCUCUCCAGUUUCUGGGUUGAGCAAAGUAAGGGGCAGAGAAAGAAACAAUCAAAAAGUGUCCACUUUUUUUAGUGAAGUAGAGAAAGGCUAGUCCCCCGAAGCUCCUGGGCAGCAGCACAAAAACGAGGCAGGGAAAACUCCUGAGACGCACGGAGCUGCCAAGUUCCUCUCCGGAGACAGUCCCAGGCAAGACCUCUAGACCAGCGCUCCACUCUCACCGAGUGCACGCGUUAGAGCCACCGCUAGGGGCGCCAGUCCGCCGGCCUCCUCGCUCCUUUCCCUCUUCCCCGCCUGCCCGCCUCAUCCAGCUUCUCAGACGCCCGCCAGAACCGCUUUGCCAGAACUGCCCUAAGGGGCAGUUCCCUCUGGGAGUGACUGCAGUGUCUCCUCAAUCUGCUCGUCAGACACGCCUCCCGCUCCUGCCAGCUCUGAACCUGAGACUGGUACAACUGGUCUUACAGAAGGAAGUGAAAUUCAGCCCUCUCCCUAUGACCUCACUCACUGCCUAUACUACUCAGGUUAUUGAUAUGAGUUUCUUGGUGAUAAAGAAGUUCCUCUUGCUCCA